CACAGUAAGAGCUUGCUCUUAUGGGUGGCGAGAAUACAUCGGAAUCUACCUUUUCGUGGGGGAUAACGUAGGGAAACUUACGCUAAUACCGCAUACGACCUUCGGGUGAAAGCAGGGGACCUUCGGGCCUUGCGCGGAUACAUGAGCCGAUGUCGGAUUAGCUAGUUGGCGGGGUAAAGGCCCACCAAGGCGACGAUCCGUAGCUGGUCUGAGAGGAUGAUCAGCCACACUGGAACUGAGACACGGUCCAGACUCCUACGGGAGGCAGCAGUGGGGAAUAUUGGACAAUGGGCGCAAGCCUGAUCCAGCCAUACCGCGUGGGUGAAGAAGGCCUUCGGGUUGUAAAGCCCUUUUGUUGGGAAAGAAAAGCAGUCGAUUAAUACUCGGUUGUUCUGACGGACCCAAAGAAUAAGCACCGGCUAACUUCGUGCCAGAGCCGAAUACGAAGGGUGCAACGUUACUCGGAAUUACUGGGCGUAAAGCGUGCGUAGGUGGUUGUUUAAGCUGUUGUGAAAGCCCUGGCUCAACCUGGGAAUUGCAGGAUACUGGGGAUAGAGUGUGGAAAAGGGUAGGAAUUCCCGGUGUAGCAAUGAAAUGCGUAGAGAUCGGGAGGAACAUCCAUGGCGAAGGCCUACCUGGACCAACACUGAUGAGGCACGAAAGCGUGGGGAGCAAACAGGAUUAGACCCUGGUAGCCCACGCCCUAAACGAUGCGAACUGGAUGUUGGGUGCAAUUUGGCACGCAGUAUCGAAGCUAACGCGAUAAGUUCGCCGCCUGGGGAGUACGGUCGCAAGACUGAAAACUC
rnacentral:rRNA from 1 species